rnacentral:rRNA from 1 species
ACACUCCUGCGGGAGGCAGCAGUGAGGAAUAUUGGACAAUGGGUGGAAGCCUGAUCCAGCCAUCCCGCGUGCAGGAAGACGGCCCUAUGGGUUGUAAACUGCUUUUAUCUGGGGAUAAACCUACUUACGUGUAAGUAGCUGAAGGUACCAGAAGAAUAAGCACCGGCUAACUCCGUGCCAGCAGCCGCGGUAAUACGGAGGGUGCAAGCGUUAUCCGGAUUUAUUGGGUUUAAAGGGUCCGUAGGCGGACUGAUAAGUCAGUGGUGAAAUCCGACAGCUUAACUGUCGAACUGCCAUUGAUACUGUUAGUCUUGAGUAAGGUUGAAGUGGCUGGAAUAAGUAGUGUAGCGGUGAAAUGCAUAGAUAUUACUUAGAACACCAAUUGCGAAGGCAGGUCACUAAGUCUUAACUGACGCUGAUGGACGAAAGCGUGGGGAGCGAACAGGAUUAGAAACCCGGGUAGUCCCAUGA